rnacentral:lncRNA from 1 species
UGAAUACAUACUCUGGAUAUAAUCCUCUUGCUUUGAUUGCUCCAGUUUGUGCAAUAAGUUCUGCAAUUGGAAAUACCGCUCUUCCCAAUGCUUAAAAUUAACCUUCUUGGGAUUAUCCAACAAUAGGCUGGUAGAAGUUACUUGAUAGUUGCUAACAUUAACUGAAGCUAAAUUGUUGUUGGACAUUAUCCAACAAUAGGCUGGUAGAACUUACUUGAUAGUUGCUAACAUUAACUGAAGCUAAAUUGUUGUUCCACUCUCCUGCAGAGGGAGGAAAUGAAGGUUUCAUGGAGAAGGAGCCCCUCGA